ACGUACACUCCUACGGGAGGCAGCAGUGGGGAAUAUUGCACAAUGGGCGCAAGCCUGAUGCAGCCAUGCCGCGUGUAUGAAGAAGGCCUUCGGGUUGUAAAGUACUUUCAGCGGGGAGGAAGGCGAUAAGGUUAAUAACCUUGUUGAUUGACGUUACCCGCAGAAGAAGCACCGGCUAACUCCGUGCCAGCAGCCGCGGUAAUACGGAGGGUGCAAGCGUUAAUCGGAAUUACUGGGCGUAAAGCGCACGCAGGCGGUCUGUCAAGUCGGAUGUGAAAUCCCCGGGCUCAACCUGGGAACUGCAUUCGAAACUGGCAGGCUAGAGUCUUGUAGAGGGGGGUAGAAUUCCAGGUGUAGCGGUGAAAUGCGUAGAGAUCUGGAGGAAUACCGGUGGCGAAGGCGGCCCCCUGGACAAAGACUGACGCUCAGGUGCGAAAGCGUGGGGAGCAAACAGGAUUAGAUACCCGGGUAGUCCC
rnacentral:rRNA from 1 species